rnacentral:lncRNA from 1 species
AGGACAGAGGCCUGGCAACACCUUCAGGACGCAAGAUUCCUACUGAUCAGUUUAUUCUAAACUGCCUUACCCUGGACUGUCCGUGUUGACAACCAUAAAAAUUAAAGUGUGAAGAAGGUACAAAGUUCUGACAUCCAAAAACUUGAGAAUAAGUUUAUGAAGACAAAUUUCAUGUUCAUUGGUUGAACCAUAGCUCAGAUGAAGGAAGCAAGCUACUUAGAGAAAACAGGAUUACAGAGACUUUUACCCACUUUUCAGCUCAGCCUAGCAACUGCAGAGAGUCAGUAGACCUGGAGUAAGAUGUUUUCAUGUUAAUGAGAAUUUUCUUGGGACUUUCUACCUCCAUUCACCUUUGCCCUCACUGUUCUCUAGCUUGAUUAACUAUAAUCAGAUUCUCAUGCAAUACGCUUCUCUAUAGUCAUUGGUGUUGGGUCAGCUUAGACUGAACACUCCCACUAAAAGGAAGUGUGUACAGUUGAGAAACUCCUGAUGUCCUGUUACCAAGUUUGCGUUGACUGGAUCAGAACAAGCAACUUUUGCAAAGAGGCAAAUCUCCCUGGGAGGGAACUGCCAGCAUCUGAGUCAAAAUUCCUUUGAGAGGAACUAGAGUGGGGUGUUGAUGUCCAUGAGGUUGAAAGGGCUGGGUCUGAACCCCCAGGAAAUGUCUGGUUACCCGCAAAGAGGCCCACGUCUGAACAUUCAGCCAUAGGAAGAACACAUCUUCCUCAGGGCAGAGUCCAUGCUGGUGAAAGCCGGAUGUCUCUCUUGCUGUGACUUGGCCCACCUAGAUGGGACUUAAGGGUUGUUGAGUGGGGUUGGUUCUGUGAUUAAGAGGUGGUGCCCAUUUCUCUUCCAGAUGGAGUUCCCUCUUCACACGGUCAGCAUAUGAAUCUCCCCUCAAAGAUGCUGGUCUCCUCUGGGCUGUCUCGGGAUGCAGUGUGUUUCAGAUAACAAACACUGAGCAGGAAGUGAAGGCUUCCAAAAAAUAUCCGUCAUACUGCGCAUCUCUUCUCCACCUGUUGAGGUUAAUGGCACGCUGUAUUUUUCCUUCCUCAGAAUAUACUCUAGACUUGGGCAAA